rnacentral:rRNA from 1 species
AUUGAACGCUGGCGGCAUGCUUUAUACAUGCAAGUCGAACGGCAGCACGGGGGCAACCCUGGUGGCGAGUGGCGAACGGGUGAGUAAUACAUCGGAACGUACCCAGUGGUGGGGGAUAACCUACCGAAAGGUAGGCUAAUACCGCAUAAGCUCGAGAGAGGAAAGCGGGGGACCGCAAGGCCUCGCGCGACUGGAGCGGCCGAUGUCCGAUUAGCUAGUUGGUGGGGUAAAGGCUUACCAAGGCGACGAUCGGUAGCUGGUCUGAGAGGAUGAUCAGCCACACUGGGACUGAGACACGGCCCAGACUCCUACGGGAGGCAGCAGUGGGGAAUUUUGGACAAUGGGGGCAACCCUGAUCCAGCCAUGCCGCGUGAGUGAAGAAGGCCUCGG